rnacentral:rRNA from 1 species
CCUACGUGUGGCAGCAGUGGGGGAUAUUGCACAAUGGGGGAAACCCUGAUGCAGCAACGCCGCGUGUGGGAAGAAGGUCUUCUGAUUUUAAACCUCCUUCAUUUGGGAGCUAAUUUAAAAUAUAGAACCUCAAUAGGAAGAGACGGCUAACUCUGUGCCAGCAGCCGCGGUACUACAGAGGUCUCUAGCGUUGUGCGUAAUCACUGUGCGUAAAGCGUGCGUAGGCUGUUUCGUAAGUGGGGUGUGAAAGGCGCGGGCUCAACCCGCGGACGGCACAUGAUACUGGGAGACUAGAGUAAUGGAGGGGGAAGCGGAAUUCUCGGUGUAGCAGUGAAAUGCGUAGAUAUCGAGAGGAACACUCGUGGCGAAGGCGGGUUCCUGGACAUUAACUGACGCUGAGGCACGAAGGCGAGGGGAGCGAAAGGGAUUAGAUACCCUAGUAGUC